rnacentral:rRNA from 1 species
UACGAAGGGGGCUAGCGUUGCUCGGAAUCACUGGGCGUAAAGGGUGCGUAGGCGGGUCUUUAAGUCAGGGGUGAAAUCCUGGAGCUCAACUCCAGAACUGCCUUUGAUACUGAAGAUCUUGAGUUCGGGAGAGGUGAGUGGAACUGCGAGUGUAGAGGUGAAAUUCGUAGAUAUUCGCAAGAACACCAGUGGCGAAGGCGGCUCACUGGCCCGAUACUGACGCUGAGGCACGAAAGUCAGGGGAGCAAACGGG